AUGAGGGACACACUCACUGCUAUGAAUACAAUUGCAGCCCCAGAGUGGAAGAGGGAAGGAUUGGGAUGUCGAAGAACAGCGUCGUCGGCCCGGUUCCGGAAGGUGGACGUGGAUGAAUAUGACGAGAACAAGUUCGUGGACGAAGAAGAUGGGGGCGACGGCCAGACCGGGCCCGACGAGGGCGAGGUGGACUCCCACCUGAGGCAAGGAAAUGUGACAGCUGCCCUACAGGCAGCUCUGAAGAACCUCCCCAUCAACACCAAGAGUCAGGCAGUGAAGGCCCGGGCAGGCAGCAUUGUCUUGAAGGUGCUCAUCUCUUUUAAAGCUAAUGAUAUCGAAAAGACAGUUCCAUCUCCAGACAAGAAUGGUGUGGAUCUCCUAAUGAAGUGUACUUAUAAAGGAUUUGAGAGCCCCUCUGACAAUAGCAGUGCUGUGUUACUGCAGUGGCAGGAAAAGGCACUUGCUGCUGGAGGAGUAGGGUCCAUUGUUCAUGUCUUGACUGCAAGAGAAACCGUGUAGAUUGGCAGGAAGUGGAAAUCUGCCUCGGGAGUGGGAAUUGCUGGUACAAAGACCAAAACAACCAAAUGCCACCGCUGCCCUGUGGGUAGCAUCUGUUUCUCUCAGUUUUGCCUUCUUGCUUUUUCGUAUCUGUAAAGAAGAAAAUUACAUAUCAGUUUUCCUUUAAUGAAAAUUGGGAUAAUAUAGAAGAAAUUGUGUUAAAAUAUAAAUGUUUCAUCCUUUCAAAACCAUUUCAGUGAUGUUUAUACCAGUCUGUAUAUAGUAUAAUUUACAUUCAAGUUUAAUUGUGCAAUUUUUAACCCCUAUUGGCUGGUUUUUUGUUUUGUUUUGUGUUAUUUUUACCUAAUACUGAGAGAUUCGGUCAGAAUUUGAGGCCAGUUUCCUAGCUCACUGCUAGUCGGGAAAUGAUAUUUAUAAAAAAUAUGAGAGACUGGCAGUUAUUAACAUUGCAAA